CGACAAAUUAAUAGCAUUGAUUGUGGAUAUUUUGUAAUGCGGUUUAUGAAAGAGGUUAUCAUGGAAAAUGAAAUUAUGAUCCCUGCAAAUUACUUUUCUGACCACAAAUGCCGCACCUACUCUCAUGAUAAGUUAACUGAGGUCAAGGAGGAUUGGGCUACCUAUAUGGUGGAUGAUGUUUUCGGAAAACAAGAAGCGGUUAUUUUGCCUAGCUAAAUGAUUGUACUCAUGGAUUCAACGCUUUUAGUUUCGUGAAGAAUAGGAGAAUUACUUGGUGCUGUUUUGUUGUUGCUUCUUGUUUUUUAGGUAGAGAAUAUGACUUGUUAUU